AUUGAACGCUGGCGGCAGGCCUAACACAUGCAAGUCGAACGGUAACAGGAAGAAGCUUGCUUCUUUGCUGACGAGUGGCGGACGGGUGAGUAAUGUCUGGGAAACUGCCUGAUGGAGGGGGAUAACUACUGGAAACGGUAGCUAAUACCGCAUAACGUCGCAAGACCAAAGAGGGGGACCUUCGGGCCUCUUGCCAUCGGAUGUGCCCACAUGGGAUUAGCUAGUAGGUGGGGUAACGGCUCACCUAGGCGACGAUCCCUAGCUGGUCUGAGAGGGUGACCAGCCACACUGGAACUGAGACACGGUCCAGACUCCUACGGGAAGCAGCAUUUGGGAAUAUUGCACAAUGGGCGCAAGCCUGAUGCAGCCAUGCCGCGUGUAUGAAGAAGGCCUUCGGGUUGUAAAGUACUUUCAGCGGGGAGGAAGGGAGUAAAGUUAAUACCUUUGCUCAUUGACGUUACCCGCAGAAGAAGCACCGGCUAACUCCGUG
rnacentral:rRNA from 1 species